AUUGAACGCUGGCGGCAGGCCUAACACAUGCAAGUCGAGCGGAUGAAGGGAGCUUGCUCCUGGAUUCAGCUGCGGACGGGUGAGUAAUGCCUAGGAAUCUGCCUGGUAGUGGGGGAUAACGUCCGUAAAGGGGCGCUAAUACCGCAUACGUCCUGAGGGAGAACGUGGGGGAUCUUCGGACCUCACGCUAUCAGAUGAGCCUAGGUCGGAUUAGCUAGUUGGUGGGGUAAAGGCCUACCAAGGCGACGAUCCGUAACUGGUCUGAGAGGAUGAUCAGUCACACUGGAACUGAGACACGGUCCAGACUCCUACGGGAGGCAGCAGUGGGGAAUAUUCGACAAUGGGCGAAAGCCUGAUCCAGCCAUGCCGCGUGUGUGAAGAAGGUCUUCGGAUUGUAAAGCACUUUAAGUUGGGAGGAACGGCAGUAAGUUAAUACCUUGCUGUUUUGACGUUACCAACAGAAUAAGCACCGGCUAACUUCGUG
rnacentral:rRNA from 1 species